rnacentral:rRNA from 1 species
CAGUCGCCACGGGAAUACGAAGGGGGCUAGCGUUGUUCGGAUUUACUGGGCGUAAAGCGCACGUAGGCGGAUCGAUCAGUCAGGGGUGAAAUCCCAGAGCUCAACUCUGGAACUGCCUUUGAUACUGUCGAUCUGGAGUAUGGAAGAGGUGAGUGGAAUUCCGAGUGUAGAGGUGAAAUUCGUAGAUAUUCGGAGGAACACCAGUGGCGAAGGCGGCUCACUGGUCCAUUACUGACGCUGAGGUGCGAAAGCGUGGGGAGCAAACAGGAUUAGAUACCCGGGUAGUCCCUGUCUCUUAUAA